GACGGGGGGGGCAAGCGUUCUUCGGAAUGACUGGGCGUCAAGGGCACGUAGGCGGUGAAUCGGGUUGAAAGUGAAAGUCGCCAAAAAGUGGCGGAAUGCUCUCGAAACCAAUUCACUUGAGUGGGACAGAGGAGAGUGGAAUUUCGUGUGUAGGGGUGAAAUCCGUAGAUCUACGAAGGAAGGCCAAAAGCGAAGGCAGCUCUCUGGGUCCCUACCGACGCUGGGGUGCGAAAGCAUGGGGAGCAAACAGG
rnacentral:rRNA from 1 species